rnacentral:rRNA from 1 species
GACUGCCGGUGACAAACCGGAGGAAGGUGGGGAUGACGUCAAGUCAUCAUGGCCCCUAUGUCCAGGGCUACACACGUGCUACAAUGGGCGAUACAGAGUGACGCGAAGCCGCGAGGUGGAGCAAAUCGCAGAAAAUCGCUCUCAGUUCGGAUUGGAGUCUGAAACCCGACUCCAUGAAGGUGGAAUCGCUAGUAAUCGCGCAUCAGCAUGGCGCGGUGAAUACGUUCCCGGGCCUU